rnacentral:lncRNA from 1 species
CUCAGAGUGUCCUGGUCCACGCCAGUUAGAGCAGGCUGUUGAGAACUUGGCCUUGACUGGAGGUGAAUGCGUUUCCCAGGCAUCAAAACAUUCUGUCUCCAGGACCUACAUGACCUCAAUCAUCCAUGGUCCUGAGAUUAGUCUCACCUCACUUUCUGGCCUGCUUCUGCAGAUCAGAAGCCCAGGACUGGCCUGGGGGAUUUAUUCCUGAGGACAGGGCCCUGGCAUGGAAAUGUGUGUGGAGCAAUGUGCCACAGAAUGGAGAGAGAGAGAGGAGAGGUGGAAGAGGAGGCCGGAAAAACGAGUCCAACCUAGUGAUGGGGCAGAAUUUGGGUCAGCCCUUAUGUGUCUGCCUUCAACUCCUCCUGACUGAGACCAUUGGACCUCCCAGCUGCUAGGUCCAAAUCCUACUCCUUGAAGGACCUCGAAACUCCACCUGUGCUGAUCAAAUUCUCACAAUAGGAAUAGCACAAAGACCAAAUCGCUGAAAAGAGAAAUGCUGAAUGAAAAAUCAAGCAAGAAGUUAAUCUGUUUGGCACCUUGUUACCUCUCUUCUGAGUGUAAUCUGGGAGGCUGUUAAUUGCUUGAUUUACUGUAUAGUCACUGCCAACAACAAUAAAUACAGUUAAUUAUUAUCAGGUAACUCACUGCCAGUAAUUACCAGGAAAUUGAAGAGAAAGUCUCUCCAUGAUAUUGUCAGCUACAACUCAUUAUCCUCCUCCUUUAGUAUCUAUUAUUUUUAAAAUUUGCUUUCCUUAAGCUUUCUGUAGAAAUACCUUGGGUUCUACCAGUGGUUUUCUUUUCUUCCUUCCAUUAACGGCUGCACGUUUGUCAAGAAGGAGUAACUACAACAGAAUCUGUCUUCACCUGUUCC